CAGUUAUCUAAGGUCGCCAUAUUUUGGAAGGAAGCGCUAUCUAAAAUUUGGGAUGAUCUUCGGCCAACGAUUACUGGACAACUGGAUCCAAAUUCCACAAAUAACAGUGUUCCUUUACCUGUGUGGGUGUUUCCCCUAAUAGAACGCAGGUGCCAUGCAUUUUCUCUUUCAGGCCUUCCUUUCCACUAUUCCUUCAACUCCAGCAGAUGCCCUGGCUGCUCUACAUGCCCCCUCGACGUGGGGCCACAGGCAGCACGCGGUCAGGCACAUAGGGACUCUUGGAAAGGGCUUGUGGAAGGGGUCCUCACUGCAGGGAGAGGCUCUGUUUUGCACCCCCACUACCCCUAGGACAUAUCCUGGGUAGAUGCUCACUGUCCCAGACUGCAAACCCCAUUUCUUUAUCUGUCGAAACCAUUCAACUGGGAGUGCUGUGAGAGCUGUAACAAGUCGCAUUAAGCACAGCAUCUUCAAGCCCUGCACCAACCAGGCCAGCAAAAGCAGGUCUCAGUGAGAGUCUUCGGAAUGGGAAUCCUUGUGCCACCUCUGGCAGAGCCCCAGCCCAAGGUGAGCCUGAAGGGGUUCUGGAUCUCAGCAGCAACACUCAGGGACCCUGGGCAGAAGGGUUUUCUGACUCUUUGUAGGAAUGCAAGAGCUAAGCAUGCACAACCUUCCAGAUGACACCCCUGUUGCAAUUGUACUACGAGCUCCAGCUAUGUGGAGAACUAGUGUGGAUCAGAGUGUAAUCAGAGACAGCUAGCGCCCACCUCCUGGUUCUGAAGGCCCCCACCCUCCACCACAGUGCUCUGGGCCCCCUGCAUCACACGCUGGUUGGCUGUACCACCCAGGUCCAAGGUGCUGACUGUGGCUGGCUCUUGGCUCCAACCCUUACAGGAACAUAGGGGGCUGAGAAAAUCGAUGGUGCUAAUCGCGAGCUCUCCACUGGGGAUGCCAUCCUAAAGGAAAACCGUGUGUGAAAUACUCAGAGUGGUAUCCGUUUGGAUGUUUAAAGAAGGAAGCAAAUUAACAUCGUUCCCGGUGCUCACAAGAAAGCCGGCUGAUCGUAAAGGACAUCCAGGCAGGCCCGGGAAGAAGCCAGAGUAAAGUCGAG
rnacentral:lncRNA from 1 species